UGAGCACUGUGGUAAAGGCAGUUUUAAAGAGGGGUGGUGGGGCAAAUAACAUCUUUGUGGAUUAUAGAGGAAAAAUGGGUCCUUCAGAGGGGAGACUGAGCAUAGGAAACAGCUCAAAAAAAAAAUCAGUUCUAAAAUUUCAGUUUCAAAAGCAUCCUCUCCUAAGUCCUAGAAAGGUUGAAGUCAGAAUUCAAGCAGUGAGCAGUGCGGGGUGAAGGGGGUCUGUAAAUGAAGUUAGAACAUGAAGCUCACGUUCCAUAAGAUAAAAGAGCUGAAACAAGACUGGAAAAGAAGAGCCACACACACAGCUGAAGGUUAGAUUAGUAAAUUAACAGUAUGAUUAGUGAAGCAGUGUUGCAUGUAAACAUGACUGAAGACUGAAUUUAUCAAUGUGGAGAAAAAGGUGUUUAUUUAAUGUAGAUUUUAUUUACUGGAAGCCAGGGCAGAAUUCUGACCUAGAGAUGGAAUGCAGAAAAAUGUCUGUAAAAACUUUUUCAAAACCUGAAUGUGAGGCAAGAAAAUGAGUAAAAAAUAAAAAAAAUCCAGACUAUGAACCUUACUGAAAAGUAGAAUUAUGGUAUUUUCCAUCUUUGAUAGAGCAAGAAUGCAGUGUAGGUCUGAGAAGAAGUGAGAUAGAGAAAGAAAGGUAAAUCAAAGAAGAAAUAACUAUUGGUAAGCAUUUUAGAUGUUCCUAAUCAUAGCAUGUAUCAUCUUACACUUACACUGUACUGUUGAAGGAAGGGGAAAAAAAAGUGCUUUUCUCUGGAAAUGCUGCAUUCCUGACUUGUCACCCACACAUAUCUCACAUCCUUUCUUGCAGUUGACAGAAUUCAGCAUGUUCAGCUUCUCUCUUUGUAGCUCUUUCUGGGUGGGUUUGUUUUUGGGUUUUGUGUAUUUUUGUGUGUAUGUGUGCCAACUUCUGUGCGUGCUGCAGCAGCAGCACAGCCCUGGCUUGUCACUCAAAUCUCUCACAGUGGGUGGAAGCAUCAUUUUGAUACUUGAACAGACAAGGCUGUCUUUGGCAGUGUUCCCCUUCAGCAGUUCUCACCUCUCUGACUCACUACCUUAAAAUGCCUUUGUUAUAAAUUUUCUUCUUGUUUUACCAGUCUCAUAUUUUAUUAGCAGGCUAUUUUCAUUUCUUGCAAACUGGUCAUGUCCUCAGUUGCCUUCCAGAUUUUUAUGUACAAGGCAAUGAUUGCCUGCCUGCCCUUGUUUUUCUUGGUUUUACAGAACUGCAUUUCACCUAAAAAGGAGCUUGUGCCAUUAACUGUGCCUAAAAUUAAUUACAGAAUAAAUAAAUAGACAUGCAACCUAUUUUGACAAUGACUGACAGCCAUUGCUGUCUAUCAGCUGCUAGCUGGCCUGCAUGAAAUGAGAUAGGAGCUUUGAUCCAGUGUCAGGUAGACAAGGAGAGCCAACACAAAAUCCAUCACUGCAACUCUUUCUAAUUGGCAAUUUAAAGAGGAGCCAAGGGCUGCAGAGGUCACAGGCUGAAUUCUUUCAGAUUGUUAGUGGCCAUGGCUCCAGGAGGGGCUCGGGGUAAGAGGAGCCAUUGUGUCUGCUCUGAGCUUCCCUCAUCAAUCCUCCUGCAUCCUCCUGGAGAUUGGAAGUAAGAACAGGGAGCUGGAAGGGCUGGGCUCUGAAAUUCUACAACAGUUACCUUGUUAAAUUUCUCUUACAAUACAAGGCAUUUAACAUCAUAACAUUUCACUGCUGCCUAGGAAUGUGUACCUGUCCCUCCAAUGGGGUGUAGAUUGAACAGGAGGAUUAGCAGCGCUCAGAUUGCUUCCUUUCCUGCACCAGGCUGGAACUGCUGCUCAUACCCUCUGCUUUCUUUGUAAGACAAUAUUUGCAAAGUUGAAAUAGCACCCAGGAGCUGCUUGUAGCAUUGGGAAUACUUGAGAAAACAUACUUUAAGAAUAUAGGUUUCAACAUGCAAAAUAUUAACUUCACAUUAUUUUUAAAGUUUCUAUGGCUUCUGCUGAUUCCAGCAUUGAAUUUAGGGUUGUAAAGAAUUUAUCUGCAAAAUAUCUUGUCCUGAAUCAUUUUAAGUGGGGAUUCCCCUGUUGUUUAGAAAUACAUCCUUCAUUCUUUUUGUUAUGGUUGGGCCUCUACAGGGCAACAAAAAUGCUUUAAAUUUUUUUUAAAGAAAUGUAUUUAAUGUUGUUAACUACACCUAAUAGUUGCAUCUCAUGUAGCAAUUUAUUAGCAUGUCUCCUGUAUUAAGCCUCCAAUAAACAUAUAGGCCCAUUUGUGCAUAUGAAUUGCACUGUCCUUUCAUAUAUUUCUGAGUUCAUGCUGUAGCCUAUGAACUUGAAAUUAUGUAUGAUUCCUUUUCCCAAAGAGCUUGUAGGAUGGUGGUGCAGCUAAGAAGGCAGAUUUAUUCUGCCGAAGAAAAUUUCAGACAAAGCUAAAAAGGAUUAAGGAAAAAAAAUAAUGGGGAAUACUGAGGAAUUCAGUAGUGAAGGAAGAAGAAAAUAAUUGACAGAAGUCACUGUGACGGACAAAACAUGAUAGGUAAAAAGUGAGCAUGUAAGGAAUUCUCUGAUUUCAGCAAACACUCAGGUAUUUUUGUGUGAUCAUUCACUACCCCACCUGAGGGACUCAGGGACUAAAUGGGAGCCACAGGCAGUAAGUACUGUAGCUGAACUGGAACCAAAUUUUAUUGGCUUAGUGUUAUAAGAAAGUUUGCUUUGUGAUGUCCAAGGUGGAUAGCACAUGGAAACACAGUAAAAUCUUAUUAAUGGAUUUUUCUUCAACAGCAUUAUGUAAUAUUUUCAUACUUAAUAAAAACUGGGUACAUUCAUUUGAUCUCUCACAGCUGCCUUUGAAGGUUGCUGUGUUAUCAGUUACUUCUCUUUCUUCUCUUCUUAAAUAUGUGUAGCACAGACACAUCUAUUUACACAAAUAUCUUCUGUUUCAAUGGAGUAAUAAGUAGAAUAUUUCAAAAGGUUCUGGGUACAGCGAGGAAGUGGACAUCCAUAUAAAUACAUGCAGGGCAAAAACCAUUGUGUAGCUUAGUUCUGGCCAGCCAAAAAGCUUUUUUUCCUUCAUAAUGCUUCCAUUGGUGGCCAAGAAUUUCUUUGCUCCCACUCUGCUCUGCUGAGCUGAAUUGUGCUUGCUGUGCUGUAUGCCUUGUAAUUUGUUUUUGUGCUUAAUUGGUUAGUUUAUCUAAUUGUGUUGCAAUCUACACUUUGGUUUUACUUUGCUUUGUCUCCCUGGAAUUGUACUGGUGUUUAUUUCGUUAAGUUCUAAGGGUUCAUUUUGGCAGUUGUGUUGGGAUCAUAUUGGAGUCCUUGUGAUGAUGGUAAAUGUCAUUGAAGCGACUAUGAUUAAGUAGUAUUGUAAAUCACAUUAUAGAAAUGCAGCUGUUGUCAGACAUCCUUAGACAUUUGCCGGCCCUGAAUAACAGAAACAGCCCUGAAUCAUAGCUUCAGAUUUCACCAUGCAUAACUUUUUUCCCACCUACACUAUAUCUGGAUUCAAAACUGUAAUUUAGAUAUUUUUCUAUAUUUAGUCCUUACUUCAGUAAGAUUAAAUUCAGUUAACUGUCAUCCCCCUUCACUUUCUCAAACAAACAAAAAAUUCUCUAAUUCAAACACAGAAAAAUGUUUAAAUAUCUGCAGCUAAUGUGGAACUGUGCAGUUAAGCAUGUUAUGAUUUAACUUUUCUGGUAAAUUUAACAAGGCAAAUAAUAGUAACUAAAAUGAAACCAAACCAGCCUGGCUUUUAAAUACCCUGAAUGCUGCAGCCUGUAGGUGCAGUCCUGCAUCUACUGCACUGCUGUUUAGCCAGAGCUAAGCCAUUACCACAGGAGCAAUAAUUUUUACAGCAUUCACUGGAAAUGGUGUAAAACUUAUCAAAAAUAUUUCAAGAAAUAUUUCACUUUUUGUUGUUCCUUUUUCUAAAGCAUAAGUGACUUUGUGCAGUUAGUGCUUUUUCUGUUAUGGAUCACAACACUUAUGUUUGGAAGGGAAUUUCUGGUGUUUAAUGUUUGUCCUUUUUGUGAGCAUCAUCUCUGCUGCUUUUUUGAAGCAUCAUCUCUUUGACUCCUCACUGACUAUUUCCACUGAGACAGCAUCUGAAAACUCUGAAAUAGUUUAGUUGUGCCUUCCUCCGCAGUUUUCCUAGUGAUGAAGUUAUCAAAACAUAGGAAUGAAUAUCUACAUGCCUGUCUCUGACAGUAGCUGAUUUCAACAUCUGUUGGUUCCCAUCUGUUGGUAGGAAGUAAAACUUGUUUCUCUGCAUGCUCUUGUAUCAACUUCACUGCUUAUAUCUAAACCAGAAAUUUCACAGCUCUGAUUUUGUGUUACUCACAGAAAAAAAGAGUUUGGUUGGUUGGUUUGGGUUUUUUCCUUCCUUUUUGAAGUCAUAAAAUAAGUGGCAAAGUGAUCAGUCUCGUUCUUCUGUGAUAAGUCAGAACCAGAGGAAGGGAACUUCCAUUUCCUUGAAUGCAUUGAUGCAUGUGAAAAAGAGAUUGAGCUGUGUUGCUCUUUAACGGGGUAGCAGAGAGGCAGGACCUGAUCUGGACUGGCUGCAAAUCUCCUUCUGUGCUGCGUGGGGAACUGCAGUCUUCCCUUAGCACAGGCAGGGACAGUGGCAGAGCUUCUGCCAUGCUGGAGAAAGAAACAACCAGGCUGACCAAGAGCUGAAUCCAGAAUGUACUGACAGAACAAAGUCCUCAGGACAUUUGUCUCCUGGCACAGCUAGCUGAUUGAUCAGGCGUCAGUGCACUCAAAUGUCCUCUUUUUCCUCCAUCUCCAAAUUGUUGCUUGUUUUAUGCCACUUGAAAUUAUAUUUUUUAUGUGCAGCUGUGACUUCUCCAGGGAGACAGAACAGUGGCCUCUUUCCCUCCCACUGAAACACUCCAAUAACUUCAUCUAAGAUCUUUGUUGGUGGUUAGUGAGAUUGUCCAAGCUCAUCUUCACAAAAGCAGUAAUGGGGCUUCAGUCCUCUCAGUCCACCAUUAAAACAGUUCUGAGGUAUUUGAUAUUGGCUUCAUUUUGAUUUCCUUAUUCUUAUGGACUGCAUUGUUAUUGUUACUGAAAAUAUCACAGGGGUUAAAUAAUCAAGCAAAAUUUACUUGUACCAACUGAGCAACCUCUAAGAGACUGUUUUAAAAAAUUGUAGCAUUUCUGGAAAUUGGUGCUAGUAUGGGAAAACACAUUUAUAUUUCUUACAUAGAUUUUUUUGUAACAGUUGUUAACCUAAGCAAUUAUCUAAUGGAAAUAGAUACUUUGUACAAUGGUCGAGGAGGGAACAGCAAGUGUUUUCUUUUUGACUGAUAGGCUCACGCUGAAGGCAUGAGAAAAAAUACUACCCUUGUGAUAAAUUUGAGCCAAAGCAAAAGUUUGCUGAGUGUUCAGAAGAAUGUAAAUAUUAAUUGUGCAGUUAAUGCUGUCCAGUCACUUCUAUAAAAAUCAUCCCAUUUUUUUUGUAGAACAGCUUAAGUACUUAUCGAUUGAGAACUCCCAAAAUGGAGGCAUCCCCAUAUCUCUACAGGUAUUUUAAAUGAAUUGAAUUAAUCAUAGGCUUAAAAGUCUCUAGUGAUCUUCGUUAAGUUUCCUGGGUUUAAUUAAAACAUCUGUGCAGUUUUAAUUUAUCGAUUCAUCCAGCUCAUAUGUCAUGUUUUUAACACACCCCAGCAUGCUCUGCAUCAUUUUUAACCCGAUUUCCACUUAACUAAAGCAAUUAAAUUCACCCCGGAUUAAUUAAAGCAUCCAUACUUUAGUGCUUAAGUCAGCGUGUGCUGCUUUCCCCAAAUGGUUUCUGAAUGUCAGAGAUUUGACACACCUGAUGGGUUUUUUGUCCUUCUGGAAAUUCUUCUGUGGGUUUCCUCCUGGCUUGCUAAUGUGGAGUUUGGCAGAGUUUGGUGGGGCUGGUGUUGGGCACCUGAAGUAGGGAGAGCAGAGCUUGCCUGCUGAGAGAGACAUUCCCUCUUGAUGCUGGCCUGGUGCCUGCCAGGGCAGAGCAGCACUACUGUUAAACCAUUUAAAUUAUUUCUGUGUUCUGCAGUCAAAGCAUUGCAUGGAGUAACUGCUGAACCACCUCAUGUCAGUGACAGUUUUUCACAGUUGUUCAUUCUCCUGCUUCUGCAUGUAUUUCUAGAUGAUUUCUGCUUGGAAGAUCACGAGCUCUUAGAGCAACCUAAAAAAGACUUUGUAGAUCUUUCUAAUUGUCACUGUUUUUAAGAACAUUUCAGCCUGAUGGGAGUUAGUGAAUUUAGUGAUCUCUGAAGAGCAGCCAGACUAGUCAAACACCAUUCUUCCUGGCUGUGCAAAUAGCACUUUUGUGGGGCACAAAGAGCAGGUGAGAGCAAACAGUCUUGGAGUCAUUCAGUCUCCCAUUCCAGCAUGAUUUUCUUGGGCAUGAUUUUGCUAGGGUGGAUCAGCUUCUCCCAAGGAAAGUAGUAUAAAAUUAGUGUAAACUAGUAGAAGAGAAACAACAUAAACCAUGAAGUCGUCUUAGAAGUUAUUUCAGAUUUUCAUAUCCACAAACGAACUUCAGUAAAAACUAAAAAGUUUGCAAACAAGUAGUGAAAUGUGCAGCCAACUGAUUGAAAUAGGUUUAAACAGAAAAUAUGAAGGGAAGUGUUACAUUGUAUUUACAGACUACAACUAAAUGGGUUUAUAUGUCUUCUGACUUUUUAAAAAUGUCUGUGGGAAAAUACUUGGUCUAACAAGGGAUAUGAUAACUAAGGGCAAAUAUUUGGUGUAAUAUGGUAUGUAUAAUAAAACAAGGAAUGUCUCAAUACUUUUUUGUUUAUAAUAUCAAUGUAAAAUCUGGAGCCAACAUUUUGAAUCAAGCUGACAGCAAUUAAUUUUUUUAAUAACUGGGUAAUAUUCUAAAAUGCAAAUGCUUUUUAUUCCUUUGGGUAUAGUGAUUUUGUUGAUUUUAGGCCAUUUAGAUUAAGAUUUUUCAUUCAUAAAGAGGUAUAACUUCAUUUUAGGAGAACAGGAAUUUGAUUGUAGCUUUUGCAGUGAAUGUAAAAUUAUUUGGGGCUUUGGUUGACAGUUGUAGGAUUCAACACUUGCAUCAGUAAAACAUAUCUUCACCUGCUUACUUAUUAAUCUCAUUUGUCCAUUGAAGAGAAAUUAAUAUGUGCAGUCUAAAUGCUGCAUAUGCAUCACCAACAUAAAGACCAAAAAGAGAAAAAUGCCAGUACAGUGUGACUCUGCUCUCAUCUAUCACGUUAGCAGCCAGGCAGUUGUACACAACAUUUGUCUUGGCUCUUUCCUCUAUUUCUGCUCCAGUUUGGAGCUGACCUGGAGUGCAUUUAUAGGCUUCAGAGUAGACUGUCAAAAACUGGAAUCCAUCUUUAUAUGUUGGCAAAAUCAUAAUCUCUCAGCAGUGGCAGCCUAAUCUCUGCUAAAAGGAAGUCCAAGUGUGAGGUAUUACAGUCUGAAUUAAUUAUCCCCUAGAGCAACUGCACCCAGAAGGGUCCCUGCUAGGGCUCAGUGCUAACAAGUGUGACCUACAUCUGUCUUCAAUUCAAUUCCUGGUGGUUAGUGAAAAAAAGGACAACUUCAGUUUCAUUAUGCAGGUGUGCUUGCAUUAUCCACUCCUUUAUAUAACAAGGAAUUUGUGCAAUUCAUGUCCAAAGAGCAUAGCAAGACUACCCUAAUCAGUUCAGUGAAUUUUUGUGACUGAAAUUUACUUCCUCCUCCUAAACAGGAGCACCUACAGAUAAAAAUAUUUUUCUUAGGCAUGGCAAAUUCUGUACAGUUCAACAAGGGCUGAACAUAUCUUACAUAGCAGUAUAAAAAGUAUGUCUCUUCAGAAGGCUUUUUUUCUGUAUGUGUUUAUUUGUUUAGUGGGAAGUAAAGCUGUAAUGGCUGAGACCAAAAUUCCAUUUCACCCAGGAUUUCAGUUGUGAUGGUGACAUACAGCAGAUAGCUGGGGAAGAAUAAAAGUUUUGUCUUUGUUGCUUCUCCAUUAAAUUCUUCUGGUUCCAGAGGUAGUGUGUGCUAGGACUUUCUACAACAGACAAAGCCUCUUUGUGUUCAGUAGCCUUUACAGAUUUUCAUUCCAUGAAUUUUUUUAAAUUCUAUGAUCAGUCACAGAAUGUUCUUCCAUGACUUUUGACUUGUCAAUUAAUCUUGCUAAAACUAUUUGAUGGAAUAGUCAGCAGUACUCAGGCACUGUAGGUAAUGUCCAAGUGCUCUUUUAGUUCAGUCUUAAUGUCAUACUUGAACACUCAGUCCUCAAUUUACAGACUAUUUACAUGGUGAACAAGCAGUCAAGCUCAUCUUUUUUGCACACCAGCUUGUGGUAAGAAAAAUGUGGUUUUUAUGCAAGACUGGGUCUUGCAAGCCUUAUGGAUACAACCAUUCUGGCCCAUACCCAAAUACCAACCCUUGGUGCAGUUUUGUCAUGGGCAUCUCACCACAAAAUUCUGUGAUACACACAUUAAAAUAUUAGAUUGGACCAAAAAUAAUAUUCUUCCUCUGCCAUGUUUUAAAAUUUACAUUUGAAUGAAAAACUGAGAUGCUUGCAAAAUAAGAAUAUACGGGCAUUGCUUUUGACCUGGUCCAGGACAGGGAGGCACUGUAGAUGCAAAUUCAAAAACCUUUCCAUUCUGCAUAUAUUUGUGCCCUGAGACUCAUAUAAUUUUGAAGAGAAAUAUACCAAUUUGUCUAUUUUACGAGGAGGAACUGAAAAAAGUUUGCAGUAGAGAACUGACAGCCAAGAUCCUAGUGGUACAGGACUUUCUCUGCACCAGGGUAAUGUUUGCUCUACAAGAGAAAACAAGCCAGAACUCUGCCUUCACAUCCUGUUUGGAGCUUCAAGUAGCAGGGGAAAGCCAAGCCAGCAGCUGUGUAACUAAUCCAAGUUCUUCAACAGCCUUCAAGAGUUUGUCUGCUCAGAUAUCCUUUGCUGGUUUCUUGCCAUGCUCUAGAAGAACUGCUCUGGUGAGUAUGUGUCUAGCACAGAAUUACAGGUCCCAAAAGUGGAAGUGGUGCUGGGUUGACCCCUUUCUUUCAGGCUCACCUGGUGACUUGCAGGAGCUGCCCACCUGCACAGGGAAAGGCUGUGCUGGGAGCUGAGCCAGGCUCCCCAGGGGAACAUGCAGCAGAAAGAACAGUCAUACAACAUUCAAGUUGCUGUUAGUUCAGUGUGUGGUACAUCAUGGAAAGGUGUUUGAUGCUGAGGUGCAAAAAUAUGUAAGAUAGACUGUCCCAGAGAGCAGUGUGGGGACAAUUUGUCUGUGUGGUAUUUCAAUACAGCUGGCUUAGUAAACUUAGCUCAGACACCAGCAGAAAUUUAGCAUCAACUUUUUCACUGAACUCAGUAAAGCACUUGUGAACAUAUAUCACAUCUGAAACAGAAAUGUUGCUUAUUGCAGCAGACCUCUCAUUAGGGGUAGAAAUGAGCCAAAACACAGACUCUCAUUAAACAACAUGGAAAGGGUCCCAAUUUAUUCUUCUCUACAGUUUAGCCAUCCUGACUCUGACUAUUCCUGCUGGAAUAUGGCUGCAAGAAUUUCCUUGCUGCCACUGGCUACAGAGGCUUGAGUGUGGCUGCAGGCUCCAGCAGCAGGCUCCAACUCCAUCAGAGCCAGCCUUAACUCACAGCAGAGCUCCUGCAGCAGCACCUCCUUUCCUUGUUCCUCAGGGUUCCUCCACCCCCAGGCUCUCUCUGACCAGCCAGCCCACCCCUUUUAGCACACUUACCUUUAUUAGUCACAUUAAGGGCAAGGCUGUCCUUCUUCUCUGGUAAUUAACCAGGGGUGAGGUCACUUGUAAUCCAUUCUGCUACACCUACAGCUGCUGAUGGAAAUUAUAUUUUAUUCAAAUUUCUGUUCAUUUUUGCAGUGCAUAAGAAAGCAACUGGACAAAACUUAUAGUAAGAGAGAACACCAAGAAUGCAAUAGAAUGAAAUCCUCUUGCUACCAAAGGAUGGAUAACAUGGACCUAAGACAUAGGAGCAGUAGCAAACCCCAAACUUCAGCAUACCAAUUUUUAUAUUGUUCUACUGUAAAAGGAAAAAUAGGCCAAAAAAUGUUAUACAUAUUAUAUGACAUGCAGCCCAUUAAUCUGUAAUUUUAAUUGAAAUGAUUCUCAGCACUCUAAAUUUUUGUUGACAUUUCAGGUUAGAAAUCUGAAUUUUAUUUUUUCUGAUCAAUUUUUUCACCUAUCAAAUAAAAAAAAUUCACAAAAAAAUCUGUCCUGAAAUGUGUUUUUGCAGCAGAUCAAUGGGACAGCUAAGAUUAAUAAGGGUUGCUGGGCUGAACAAUGGAGAAGUUGAAUAACUGGACCAUUGCACAUUUCUUUGUAGGAAAUCAAUUACUUGGGUUCUUCUUGAUCAUUGGGGUUAAAGGGAUAAUAGAAGCCAAGAAGACAUUAGGACCUUUUAAUGAUUAAUAGUAGCUUUUGAGUAUAUUUUUGGCACUGUAACACUGGGUGUUCAUUUCUAAUUACUUUGAAGAAGGAAAAGACAAGGAAAUACUUUUCUGUCUUUAUCAAACUGCAUCAGAGAGAAGAGCACAAAAGUGCUCCAAGCUUUUUUUAAAGACUCACUUCAUUACUCCCAUUUUGUGUUAUUUCUCUGUUAUUUUUUCCAUUUAUCUGGCUAGUGACCACACACCCAAUCUUUGACAGGCACAGAAGUUCACAGAUUGCCAUGUUCCCAAGGGAGACAUGAGCACAUGGGAGUCAAUAUGACUUAGUGAAACAUUUAUAUGCACCUGGGUUUUAAUCAACCACUUCUUUCUUUCCAUUGCUCUGCAUAUGUAGAACAUCUGAUUCCUGGCACCCAAGACCUAAUGACAACUUUUAUUAUUCAUAGCUUCACUUCAUUUGCAUAAAUGAAUAUUUGCUCAGAAUGUCUUACCCCCUUAAUAACACUGUAGUGAGGGGUAAGGGUUAAUGGUGCUUUCUUGCCAGUACACACAAGAUAAAAGCUGUCCCUGGGAUCCAGGGAAACAAGGCUCAGCAGGGAUAGUGGUGGCAAGGUGCAUUUGUAGUAGCUGAAAGCCUGUGUCAUUCUUGUGUUCAAGAUUCUUACACUGAAAACCAAAGGGUCUAAAAAAGUUUGGGGACAUUACA